rnacentral:lncRNA from 1 species
UUAUAUUUUAAGAAAGAAGUUCAAGGUGAUAUUUUUCUUAGUAUGCCAUGGCUAGAGAUGGAAAAUAAAUAAAUUGAUUAGAUAGCAAGAAUAAUCUCCUUUAAAGAUGGUGGAUGCAAAGUGAUUCUUCACAUCUUCAUAUUAAGUGAAGAAGAAAGAAAAUAUGCAAUCAAAGACUUAUUCAUAGGGGUGACCUUUAUGAAGAAGCAAAUAUGGCAUAAGCAACUGAUAUAUAUAUAUGGUAGUUUUAAAUCUUGCAUUAAUGGUAGAAAAGACAACCAAAGGAAUAGAAUGUACUAAUCAAUUCAUAUAAAAAUAUCAAGAUGUUUUUUCAACCGACUUAUCUAGUAACAUACCUCUUAAUUGAGGUGCCUUCUUUCAAAUAGAACUAUUGUAUGGAGCCAAAUUAAAAUUUGAUCAAUUUAUUGUCUAGCACCAAAAAAAUUUAAAGAAUUCUAGAA